rnacentral:rRNA from 1 species
AGGAUAAACGCUGGCGGCGUGCCUAAUGCAUGCAAGUCGAACGGAGUAGGCCUUCGGGCAUACUGAGUGGCGGACGGGUGAGGAACACGUACGAGACCUGCCCUCGGAUGGGGAAUAAGCCCUCGAAAGGGGGUCUAAUGCCGCAUACGGUCCCAAGCAGCAAGGUUUGGGAGGAAAGCUCGAGAGGGCGUCCGAGGAGGGGCGUGCGGCCGAUUAGCUAGUUGGUGGGGUAAAGGCUUACCAAGGCGACGAUCGGUAGCUGGU